ACGCGUCGGUGGGAGGGGCAGCGCAGCUUUAACCGGGCUCACCUUUCCUGACCGCUGUAAUGAGAUUACCUGGCGCACACGUCAUGUCAACUGAGACGGACAGAGAGAGCGGGUUACUCCAUCCGUGCGGCUGUACCAGCGUUAGAGACCGCGCACAGCAGCCCGGUGUAAUGUUACCGAGUCUCCUUGGUUUCGGGCUCAGGACACGGUGGCUGCAAAGCGCUGAUGAGCUCCCGUGUGGAGGCUGUUGCUGCGUCGCCUGCAGUUAUUUAUUGUAGCUGUACUUUGCCAGAGGAUACUUCUGAAGUUUAAACAUGGUGGGCAGGCAAUAAGGCUUGACAGAAGAUGCGACGGGGGCGGUGGCUUGUCAGAUGGCUGUGGACAGGAAUGGCAAUCCUCUCUUUGCUUACCCACAGCUGGGGCCAGGACACAGAAGACUGGCAGUAUGAGG